rnacentral:lncRNA from 1 species
ACCCCGAGCGGAGCGGGCCCAGGACCCUAUCGGCUGUCGAGCCGGUGCUGCCGCGGCCACCGCCACCGCCCAGGGGCUCCGGGGCUGUGGGGAGCGGCUGAACUCAAUACCGCCUCCGCGCUGACUGGAAGGCACUGCGGCCGCGCCUGCCUGCCCCACCUCGUAAGGGCCUGUGACCUCACGAGGCCAGCCGCCGGGCGCUGCAUUCGAGCGAACUUCAGAUUGAAAAGCAUGUACUUGAGUAGCUGUAUUUAAGGAAUUACACCCAAGAAGUCUCAUCUUCCCUGGACUUACGUAGAGGAUAAGAUUCUGAACUUUGAAUUGAUGCUAUAAUGGGAUAAGACUUUGGGGCCUUAGAAGGGGAGAACAAAGGCCAUGAAGGUGUUAAAGGGAAGCAAGCGAUCGACAGCAUUGGUUGGUGACAAACCUGUGGCUGGUCUGUGUAUGAUGGGAUGGAUUCCUCCUGCUCCCAGAAGGCACUGUACUUUCAGUGUUCAGGGCAGCCUUGCCUUAGUGCCUCAAACCUAUCCCUACAUCCUGCAGUAAACUUGGAAAGGUAACACCUCUAACCAUCAGGCCUUCCUCUGAAGCACAGUCAAGUUGCUCUUGGCAACCAUCUCAAUUUUAAUAGUGCAGAUGCCAUGUGCUGUAAAGUCCUAAAAUUUAAAUUCUUUAUUUCUUGACAUCAUUGCCUCAAAA